CAGUCGCCACGGGAAUACCAAGGGUGCAAGCGUUACUCGGAAUUACUGGGCGUAAAGCGUGCGUAGGUGGUGGUUUAAGUCCGUUGUGAAAGCCCUGGGCUCAACCUGGGAAUUGCAGUGGAUACUGGGUCACUAGAGUGUGGUAGAGGAUAGUGGAAUUUCCGGUGUAGCAGUGAAAUGCGUAGAGAUCGGAAGGAACAUCUGUGGCGAAGGCGACUAUCUGGGCCAACACUGACACUGAGGCACGAAAGCGUGGGGAGCAAACAGGAUUAGAUACCCCAGUAGUCCCUGUCUCUUAUAC
rnacentral:rRNA from 1 species